UCCUGACUCUCUAAAUAGAGUAAGUUAGGGCUACACGCCAGUUUAUUAGCACUUUAUUUAAAUUUAUUUUAAGUCGUGAAAUACAGAAAUUUCUUACGAGGAAUUUCCGUGAAAAGAAUUUGCUCUCUUAAUUGAUAAAUUGGCUAUAAGCA
rnacentral:sRNA from 12 species